rnacentral:rRNA from 1 species
UACGGGGGGGGGCAAGCGUUGUUCGGAAUUACUGGGCGUAAAGGGCUCGUAGGUGGCCAACUAAGUCAGACGUGAAAUCCCUCGGCUUAACCGGGGAACUGCGUCUGAUACUGGAUGGCUUGAGUUCGGGAGAGGGAUGCGGAAUUCCAGGUGUAGCGGUGAAAUGCGUAGAUAUCUGGAGGAACACCGGUGGCGAAGGCGGCAUCCUGGACCGACACUGACGCUGAUGAGCGAAAGCCAGGGGAGCAAACGGG